rnacentral:lncRNA from 1 species
CCCUCUCUCCCUCCGCUGGUCCCCCACCAUAUAACUUACUCUCUUAGUUUUCAUUGCCGAACUAAAUGGAGAUUGCCGGAAAAAUCCCAAACAUGUGUCCGUUGCAAUUUGAAUACUUUCCAUAUAAAAAGGCCAAGAGCAAAGGCUUAAAAUGACUCUGAUUAGAGCUUGUGAAAAGAACCGGAACUGGAAAAAUCAAAUGCACUCCGAAAUAACGAAAAUGGCUAAAAAAAGCCUGUGACAGUCAACAUAUUUGAGCUUAGAGGUCGACACCAUGGUUAUUUAGCUUUCUACUUAAAUACUAAAGCCAAUACUUCUAAUACAACAAUCUUUGAGAAUUUUUUGGAUUUAGCUAUGGUUAUUUAAGGAGAAACGGGAACGAACUGUAGUGGUCACUGUUCGUGAUCGAUUCUCUCUAUGAUGUCUCGAGAAUUAGGAGGAGAUUCAGUUGUAUCGGUAGAACGGCAGCGGCAACCACUUUUAUUGGGCCAAGAUUCGUCGUUGCGACGUGGGUUCGACGGUUUGUUGUUGUUGCUCAUUUGGGCUCGUGAUGUAUAAGUUGCCUACGCGACUUUGCUGGAAGGCACUGAGGUCACAGGACGAAAUGCCGAUGUCGGCCGAAGAAGAAAGGUCUUUUGAUGUGCUGUGAAGAAACAAUGCUUUCAAAGAUUAGAGUAGCUUUUUUCU